UUUUAUUAUAGGUUAUGUCAUUGAAAUUUGGGGAAAUUCAAAUUUUAAGGGAGAUUCUGCCAAUUUUCAGUAGAAAUGAGAUUUUUUUGUUUCUUUUAAAUUAACAUUUCUUCUCAUGUUUAUGAAUUGUAUAGAUAUGGUGCUAGGUAGACAUAUUGUUGGUAGUUCCCAAACACCAUCUGCAAAUGAGGAAGGUGAGACUUUGAUG
rnacentral:misc_RNA from 1 species